CCUACGGGAGGCUGCAGUGGGGAAUAUUGGACAAUGGGGGCAACCCUGAUCCAGCCAUGCCGCGUGUGUGAAGAAGGCCCUCGGGUUGUAAAGCACUUUCAGUGAGGAAGAACGCCUGGUGGUUAAUACCCAUCAGGAAAGACAUCACUCACAGAAGAAGCACCGGCUAACUCCGUGCCAGCAGCCGCGGUAAUACGGAGGGUGCGAGCGUUAAUCGGAAUUACUGGGCGUAAAGCGCGCGUAGGUGGCUUGAUAAGCCGGUUGUGAAAGCCCCGGGCUCAACCUGGGAACGGCAUCCGGAACUGUCAAGCUAGAGUGCAGGAGAGGAAGGUAGAAUUCCCGGUGUAGCGGUGAAAUGCGUAGAGAUCGGGAGGAAUGCCAGUGGCGAAGGCGGCCUUCUGGACUGACACUGACACUGAGGUGCGAAAGCGUGGGUAGCAAACAGGAUUAGAUACCCUUGUAGUC
rnacentral:rRNA from 1 species